rnacentral:rRNA from 1 species
UAGGGAAUUUUCCACAAUGGACGAAAGUCUGAUGGAGCAACGCCGCGUGCAGGAUGAAGGCUCUUGGGUCGUAAACUGCUUUUAUAUGUGACGAUUAUGACGGUAGCAUAUGAAUAAGGAUCGGCUAACUCCGUGCCAGCAGCCGCGGUCAUACGGAGGAUCCAAGCGUUAUCCGGAAUUACUGGGCGUAAAGAGUUGCGUAGGUGGCAUUGUAAGUAGAUAGUGAAAGCGUGGGGCUCAACCUCAUAUCCAUUAUCUAUACUGCAAAGCUAGAGGGCGAGAGAGGUUACUAGAAUUCCUUGUGUAGGAGUGAAAUCCGUAGAUAUAAGGAGGAAUACCGAUGGCGUAGGCAGGUAACUGGCUCGUCCCUGACACUAAGGCACGAAAGCGUGGGUAGCAAACG